rnacentral:misc_RNA from 1 species
AGGGAGUGCAGAAAUUUUCAAAUACUGAUGAAAGAGCUAUUCCAUGGAAGAAAAUUUUGGAGUAUGGUAGUUCAGUAUUUCUUAGAGGCCGUACUACAGUAGACCUUAAGGAUAAAUGGAGGAACAUGUGUAAAGGAAGUCCUAAGUGCAAAUAGUUUUGUCAGCCUGGUCAGUUUGCUUGCAAAGUUGCUUUCUCUCAUUUUGUUCAGCCUCUGACUAAUUUUUAUCAGGAAUUAAUUUUCCUCUGAUUCUUCUUCGUUUGUGGCAGCUGAAGAUUACAUGGGAGAAAUCUGAAGAUUAUAUGUUGUAGCUACAGUAUAAUCCAGUCAGACAUUGAGGAAAAUGGCUGUGGUUGACCCAUAAAAUGGUCGAUGCCAAGUCUUAUGGUUACUGCUAUGGGAUAAGGACAGUCUUUCUUAUGAUCACAAAUCUCAAAUUUAAGCAUUCUCAGAAGUUCUGGAAGCAUCCUUUUAUUUCAGAUCAUGUCAAAUAUGAUAAGAUGUGGGAAGAGCUGAAUGUGUACAGCAUGUACUCUUCUCCAUUUCUGCUUAUCUAACACUGUCAAUUAGGGGUGUAGAUAUCUAGAAUCUGGUGUUUAUAUGGGCUGUUAUAUCAGUGUCUGUACAUACAACCUCAGAUGUUAUUGAAAAAGGGCAUAGAAUUUAUGAGAAUCUUUUGUAACUUUAUAAAAGAUAUCUAGUUCUGAACUAUGAAAGGA